AUACGGAGGAUGCAAGCGUUAUCCGGAUUUAUUGGGUUUAAAGGGUGCGCAGGCGGACUAAUAAGUCAGUGGUGAAAUUUACAUGCUUAACAUGUGACGUGCCAUUGAUACUGUUAGACUAGUAUACAAAUGACGUAGCUGGAAUGUGUUAUGUAGCGGUGAAAUGCAUAGAUAUAACACAGAACACCGAUCGUGAAGACAGGUUACGAAUUUGUGAUAGACGCUCAUGCACGAAAGCGUGGGGAUCAAACAGGAUUAGAUACCCUGGUAGUCCACGCUGUAAACGAUGAUAACUUGUUGUUGGGCACAUAGUGCUCAGUGGCUAAGCGAAAGCGAUAAGUUAUCCACCUGGGGAGUACGAUCGCAAGGUUGAA
rnacentral:rRNA from 1 species